UACGUAAGGGCGAGCGUUGUCCGGAAUUACUGGGCGUAAAGCGCGUGUAGGUGGGACGGAUAGUCGGACGUGAAAGCCCCGGCUCAACCGGGGAGAGCCGUUCGAUACUGCCGUUCUUGAGGGUCGAAGAGGAGAGUGGAAUUCCUGGUGUAGCGGUGAAAUGCGUAGAGAUCAGGAGGAACACCCAUGGCGAAGGCAGCUCUCUGGUCGGCCCCUGACGCUGAGACGCG
rnacentral:rRNA from 1 species